rnacentral:rRNA from 1 species
GAUGAACGCUGGCGGCGUGCCUAAUACAUGCAAGUCGAGCGAACAGACGAGGAGCUUGCUCCUCUGGCGUUAGCGGCGGACGGGUGAGUAACACGUGGAUAACCUACCUAUAAGACUGGGAUAACUUCGGGAAACCGGAGCUAAUACCGGAUAAUAUAUUGAACCGCAUGGUUCAAUAGUGAAAGACGGUUUUGCUGUCACUUAUAGAUGGAUCCGCGCCGCAUUAGCUAGUUGGUAAGGUAACGGCUUACCAAGGCGACGAUGCGUAGCCGACCUGAGAGGGUGGGCGCCAACACGAGAGCGGAGACCGGCUCAAACCUCCGAGGGGGGGAAGAAGGAGGGAACCUCCCGAAAGGGGAGAAAGCCGGAGGGAGCAGCGCCGGGGGAGGAAGAAGGGUCUUAGAAUAGAAAAACUGUUUUAUUGGGAAAAAAAAAAGGGGAAGGUAAGUAGGCACGCCUGGAGGGUACCUAAUCAAAAAGCCACGGCUAACCACGUG